ACUCUCUCUCUCCAUCCAUCAGCAAAAGGGUCUGCCUCCAAACCUCGCUCGGUCUCUUCAUCCAUCGGCAAAAGGGUCUGCCUCCAAACCAAACAAAGUAGGUGAUCCUCUAGAGAAGGCUGCACUUAAGGGAAUUGAUUGGAGUUAUAAGUCAGAUGAAAAGGUCAUGCCAAAAAGGGGAAGUGGCAAUGCUGUUCAGAUUGUUCAGAGACACCACUUUGCAUCCCACUUGAAGAGAAUGGCAGUUGUUGUUCGCAUUCAGGAGGAAUUUUUUGCUUUUGUGAAGGUCUAUUUUAUUCGUGAACCCUGCAAUUUGUAUGCAUGCAUAUAUGGAUUAGGAAUGCUAUUUUACUUGAUGCUUGCAUAAUCAGGUAGCUUAUAAGAAAGAAGUUAUUGUGUAUUUUAUGGUAAAAUUUUAUAGGUAGAUACGAAAAUGUAUUUGGGAAUAUGCCAUGAUAUAUAACAUCAAGAUUUUUCUUUAGAAAAAGAAGUUCCCAACCUAUUUUGUAUUCUAGAGUUGAUUGAAUUGAGUUUUUGUGCACACACUAAGAUAAUCAAAUUGAAUAUAUGUUUUUGUGUGGAAACUGAGCUAUUGGUCAAUUUGAAUUGUUUUUGUGUGGAAACUGAGCUAUGGGUUUGAAUUUGUUUAGUGGAAACUGAUUGAGGUGGAGUUAUCAGCUUGCUUCCUUUGUUUU